GAUGAACGCUGGCGGCGUGCCUAAUACAUGCAAGUAGAACGCUGAAGCUUGGUGCUUGCACCGAGCGGAUGAGUUGCGAACGGGUGAGUAACGCGUAGGUAACCUGCCUCUUAGCGGGGGAUAACUAUUGGAAACGAUAGCUAAUACCGCAUAAAAGUCGAUAUCGCAUGAUAUUGAUUUGAAAGGUGCAAAUGCAUCACUAAGAGAUGGACCUGCGUUGUAUUAGCUAGUUGGUGAGGUAACGGCUCACCAAGGCGACGAUACAUAGCCGACCUGAGAGGGUGAUCGGCCACACUGGGACUGAGACACGGCCCAGACUCCUACGGGAGGCAGCAGUAGGGAAUCUUCGGCAAUGGGGGCAACCCUGACCGAGCAACGCCGCGUGAGUGAAGAAGGUUUUCGGAUCGUAAAGCUCUGUUGUAAGAGAAGAACGAGUGUGAGAGUGGAAAGUGCACACUGUGACGGUAACUUACCAGAAAGGGACGGCUAACUACGUGCCAGCAGCCGCGGUAAUACGUAGGUCCCGAGCGUUAUCCGGAUUUAUUGGGCGUAAAGCGAGCGCAGGCGGUUAGAUAAGUCUGAAGUUAAAGGCUGUGGCUUAACCAUAGUACGCUUUGGAAACUGUUUAACUUGAGUGCAGAAGGGGAGAGUGGAAUUCCAUGUGUAGCGGUGAAAUGCGUAGAUAUAUGGAGGAACACCGGUGGCGAAAGCGGCUCUCUGGUCUGUAACUGACGCUGAGGCUCGAAAGCGUGGGGAGCAAACAGG
rnacentral:rRNA from 1 species